GGGGUUGUAGCUCAGUGGUGGAGCAUUUGCCUAGCAUGCAGAAAGACCUAGGUUUAAUCCCA
rnacentral:tRNA from 1 species